AUUGAACGCUGGCGGAAUGCUUUACACAUGCAAGUCGAACGGCAGCACGGACUUCGGUCUGGUGGCGAGUGGCGAACGGGUGAGUAAUGUAUCGGAACGUGCCCGGUCGUGGGGGAUAACGUAGUGAAAAUUACGCUAAUACCGCAUACGAUCUAUGGAUGACAGCGGGGGAUCGCAAGACCUCGCGCGAUUGGAGCGGCCGAUAUCAGAUUAGGUAGGUGGUGGGGUAAAGGCCCACCAAGCCAACGAUCUGUAGCUGGUCUGAGAGGACGACCAGCCACACUGGAACUGAGACACGGUCCAGACUCCUACGGGAGGCAGCAGUGGGGAAUUUUGGACAAUGGGCGAAAGCCUGAUCCAGCCAUUCCGCGUGCAGGAUGAAGGCCCUCGGGUUGUAAACUGCUUUUGUACAGAACGAAAAGGUUUCUACUAAUACUAGGAGCUCAUGACGGUACUGUAAGAAUAAGCACCGGCUAACUACGUGCCAGCCGCCGCCGUAA
rnacentral:rRNA from 1 species